rnacentral:rRNA from 1 species
UACGUAGGGGGCAAGCGUUGUCCGGAAUCAUUGGGCGUAAAGAGCGUGUAGGCGGUUCGGUAAGUCGGCUGUGAAAGUCCAGGGCUCAACCCUGGGAUGCCGGUCGAUACUGCCGGACUAGAGUUCGGAAGAGGCGAGUGGAAUUCCCGGUGUAGCGGUGAAAUGCGCAGAUAUCAGGAGGAACACCAAUGGCGAAGGCAGCACCUCUGGGACGU